GACAGAGGUCCCGAGCGUUAGGUGGAAUCACUGGGCUUAAAGCGUGUGUAGGCGGAUGCCUAAGUACCUUGUGAAAUCCCACGGCUCACCCGUGGAACUGCUUGGUAUACUGGGUGUCUUGAGCCACUUAGGGGCUACCGGAACAAAUGGUGGAGCGGUGAAAUGCGUAGAUAUCAUUUGGAACGCCAAUGGUGAAAACAGGUAGCUGGGAGUGUGCUGACGCUGAGACACGAAAGCCAGGGGAGCAAACGGG
rnacentral:rRNA from 1 species